AGAGAGUGCAAGCGUUAAUCAGAAUUACUGGGCGUAAAGCGCACGUAGGUGGAUAGGUUAAGUCGGAUGUGAAAGCCCUGGGGCUCAACCUAGGAACUGCAUUCGAUACUGGCUAUCUAGAGUAUGGUAGAGGGAAGUGGAAUUUCCGGUGUAGCGGUGAAAUGCGUAGAUAUCGGAAGGAACAUCAGUGGCGAAGGCGACUUCCUGGACCAAUACUGACACUCAGGUGCGAAAGCGUGGGGAGCAAACAGGAUUAGAUACCCUGGUAGUCCACGCCGUCAACGAUGAGAACUAGACGUUGGGGCUUUUAAGUCUUAGUGUCGAAGCUAACGCGCUAAGUUCUCCGCCUGGGGAGUACGAUCGCAAGAUUA
rnacentral:rRNA from 1 species